CUGCGAAUGGCUCAUUAAAUCAGUUAUCGUUUAUUUGAUAGUACCUUACUACAUGGAUAACCGUGGUAAUUCUAGAGCUAAUACAUGCUAAAAACCUCGACUUCGGAAGGGGUGUAUUUAUUANAUAAAAAACCAAUGCCCUUCGGGGCUCCUUGGUGAAUNAUAAUAACUU
rnacentral:rRNA from 1 species